rnacentral:lncRNA from 1 species
GUGAAGACACAGAAGGAGAUUGUCACAGACAGGGCAGAACCAUCUACCUUCCCUCCCAUCACCACAUCACUGGAGACCAAAACUCUCCCCACCCUUUAGGGACGCAAGUCGCAAAACAGCAGAGGGUUCACAGAUACAUGGGACACAAUUGAGUUCAUAGUCUUCACUGGAGAGCAAAUGAGGACAGGAAGAUAGAGACCAGACCUGGCAACCCAGUUGCUUUGUGAGUUUUCCACAAAUAUAUUCAGCUAGGGAGGAGAAACAAAAAAAAAUGCAGAUUGGAGAUAAGCCCAGGUUGGAAUCCAAGAAAACUAGAACAAUAGGACCCUUGGUCCACAAACGACAAAUUGAUGGUGUCCUGUGCUCUCCUUCCUAAGACAGAGAAGGAGCCUCGUAUAUCCAACAAUCGUCUUCAAAGAAGGUUAAGAUACAAUUACUCAUUGGAAGCAUCUGGCAGACUUGCGCCAAGGCUAGGCAUCAUUCUGGGUACUGAGGAAAGAAAAAUGGACAAGACUCACUCCUGCCUUUGAGAAGCUCAGAGUCCAGUGAGGGAAACAGGUAAACAAUUUCCUUGUAACACAUGUGAGGUUAUUAAAAAGCAGGUACAAAGAGAGAUUAGAGGCAACAUCUGUUUCAAAUUGGGGCUUGCCUUUUUGUAAUCCCUCCUAUGCCAAAUUUCUAAAAAUGUUAAUCAAGAUAUAAAAAAUGGCCCAGGCUUGGCAGUCCAUGACUAUAAUCGUAGCACUUUGGGAGGCUGAGGUGGGAAGAUCAC